UGCUGUCUCCAACUGCUGGGAAUCUAUCUUUUUUGUACAUGGACCCUGGAGAUGGUGCUAUGAAUGAACCAGACUCGUCCAUAUGGAAUCCAUAAACCCAUACAGCCUUCCUGCGUGUGUAGGAGAGUCGACAGUCACCAGGAGGGGAUUUCAUGGAACUCAUUGCUGCCUGGAAUGGCUAUCAUUCCCAUUAAGAAGAGAAUGACACAUCCAUACAAAGACAACUCUGAUAAACUUGGCCCACAAUAAACUAAUCCCUGGUCCCCAGGGAACAGACUGAUGUAAACAGAAGAGAAGUAUUCAGAAGAACAAAUGUGAUCAAGCAGAUGGUUCAAAAGAUCUUCUGAAAGGGUUUCAGAGACCCCAACAAUUCUUUGGAUUACACUUUGAAGGCCACUGCUGGGCAAGCCAAUGGCAAGGGUGUAAUUUUUCUCACUUGUGUUUACAUUUGGUUCCUGGGAGGAGCAAAUCACAGCUCAGAGUGCUGUGGAAUGUUAAAAGAACUAGUAUGUCAAGAAUUCAAACCCAAUUCUAGCCUUGAACAUGAAGUUGCUGCACUCACCUGUUCUGGUCAAUGGGAAAGGAAACUGCCCACCGAGCAAGUGAAGACACCGAGAAUAUAGCAUUUGGUAUUGUUUUCAAGCCCUAACAGACUGCUGCUGCUUGUAAAAAUGCAAGAAUACAAAAAGGACCAUAUAAACAAUGGGUGUUGCUAUUAUUGUUUACAACUUGUAUUUAUCUUAUAAAAUGUUACUACUGCAAAUAAUUGUAUCUUACUUGUUAAUUUGUAAAGCCAGUCACUGGGAAAUCUUUCAUACCUUAUAACCCAUAGAACAAAUAAACAGGAGAUAAAACACAGGAGGUUCUGUGGGGCCUUGACUGAAUAAUCAGUAGUCAGGAAGACCUGAGUUCAAGAUCUGCCUCUGACACCAGCUGUGUGACCCUAGGCAAGUCAUUUACCUUCUGAAUUUCAGCUUCCUUAGCUGCAAAAAGGGACUAAUAAUAACUAUUAUAAUUACACUGAAGAUCCGCUAUGAGGCUGAAAUGAAACAAUUCUUGUUAAGCACUUUGAAAACCUGAAAGUACUGUGCAGAUUCCAGGAUUCUUGAAAUUAUUAUAAUAAAACAUUUUUCUGAAUGCUCAACAAA